rnacentral:tRNA from 1 species
GGAGGGAUGGCCGAGUGGUCGAAGGCGCUCGACUCGAAAUCGAGUAGGCCUCAAAAAGGUCUCGUGGGUUCGAAUCCCACUCCCUCCG